UACAGGGGGGUGCAAACGUUGCUCGGAAUUAUUGGGCGUAAAGCGCGCGUAGGCGGCUACUUAAGUCGGAUGUGAAAGCCCUUGGCUCAACUGAGGAAGUGCACCCGAAACUGAGUGGCUUGAGUACGAAAGAGGGUCGCGGAAUUCCCGGUGUAGAGGUGAAAUUCGUAGAUAUCGGGAGGAACACCGGUGGCGAAGGCGGCGACCUGGGUCGAUACUGACGCUGAUGCGCGAAAGCGUGGGGAGCAAACAGG
rnacentral:rRNA from 1 species